CGCAGUAUAGCUUAACUCAAAGCACCCCGCUUACACCGGGGUGACACCUGUGAAAUCCAGGUUACUCCGA
rnacentral:tRNA from 1 species